CAAAGAUUGUACUUCGAUAAAAAUUCUGUAGUUAUCUCCCUCUAGAUCAAAGAUUGUACUUCAACAAUAAAAAUUUUCUGCAGUUAUCUCCCCUCUAGAUCAAAGAUUGUACUUCAAUAAAAAAUUCUGCAGUUAUCUCCCCUCUAGAUCAAAAAUUGUACUUCAAUAAAAAAUUCUGCAGUUAUCUCCCCUCUAGAUCAAAGAUUGUACUUCAAUAAAAAAUUCUGCAGUUAUCUCCCCUCUAGAUCAAAGAUUGUACUUCAACAAAAAAGACUUUCUGCAAUUAUCUCCCCUCUAGAUCAAAGAUUGUAUGAACUUCAACAUAAAUUCUCACUUCAAUCAUCUCCCCCCUAAAUCAAAGUGGCUACUUACUGCAGUUAUUUCUCUUACAUAUCAACAUCUGGAGCAGAAAGCUUACCUAUUGAUCUACCAUACCAUGUGGAGGUGGUUUAAAUGUUGGAGUAUAUGAUUUACCUGGUUAUAUUGAGUUUAUGAUUUGAGUCAGAAUAUUUACACUGGAGAUAAACACAGGCACUCUUCAGGUAGAGUGAAUAUUUAUUUAAACCAAAUCUCAGAGCAACAAAGUGAUGUCGGAAUAGUUUUGUGUUUAUAUCUGGAUGAAUAACAAUUAAAAUACAUAAACAACAGAAUCUGAUGUGAAUAAACAAACAGUUUAAAACACUCAGUACAUAACAGAAAAUCUUAAUUGAAACAAACUAGCAGAUAACAAACUGCAUCAUGGGACAAGGAGAAGGUCAAGGUGAAGGCAAAGGUCAAGGUGGUGGUUUGUGUCCCGGCUUACUGUGGGCCAUCCUCUGGUUCAUCAUUCUUAUAUUUCUCGGAUGGCCGAUUGCAUUCUUUGUAGCAUGGUGGUACAUAUUUCUGCUUCCAUUCUCAGCGUGUAUUGAGCCCCUUAAAGGGGCUUGUGAGGCCCUGUUGUCGGUUGUUAAACUACCAUUGACAUGCGCAGAAAAUAUGAUAGCAAUGAAACCACUGUGUGGUUAAAAUGUAGAUUUUUUUAUAAACGCUCAAAGACAUAGAAAAGUGACUAAUUUAAAUAAUAGCAUAGAACUCACUUUGCAGUGAAAACAUGGAUUCCAAAGACAAGGAAUAUACAUAAUGAAGAAACUGUGAAAACAAACAGACCAGCAAACUACAAACUGACCCAACAUGAAACAAAAGCGUAUGCACUAUAACUAGAGAGAUAAUUGGAUUUACCGACAUCUUUGUAUAUUUUUUCAUAAUAAUAGCUUAACCAGUGAAAACUAUAUUUUAAAGAAAAGAAACUUUUCAUUUGUUUAUCAAUUACAUUGUAACUAAAUGUUUUCUACUUGCCAAAGUACACUUACUGAACAGAAAUACAUAAGUGAAUCUCCAUAAACUUGUAUUAUAUAUCAUUUAUAUACGUAUUUAUUGAAUGCUAUACAGGCUACUCCUGAAGUCUGGAGGUAGACAAUGAGUUUUAUUUAUUCCUGUUAUAUGGAAGAGUAAAAUCUGUUAAUGAACAGUCAUAAAAUCUUUGAACCUUAGGAUCAAGAAGUAAAUUCUUUGCCUCUAAAAUUGUGAAACGUUUUCUUCUAAAAUGUAGUCAAUAUUGCACUGAUAUUCAUGUAUGUUUGUAUUUUAUGUAACAGUAAACAAAGUCAACCACC